UACGAAGGGGGCUAGCGUUGCUCGGAAUCACUGGGCGUAAAGGGUGCGUAGGCGGGUCUUUUAAGUCAGGGGUGAAAUCCUGGAGCUCAACUCCAGAACUGCCUUUGAUACUGAAGAUCUUGAGUUCGGGAGAGGUGAGUGGAACUGCGAGUGUAGAGGUGAAAUUCGUAGAUAUUCGCAAGAACACCAGUGGCGAAGGCGGCUCACUGGCCCGAUACUGACACUGAGGAGCGAAAGCGUGGGGAGCGAACAGG
rnacentral:rRNA from 1 species